CUAAACACUUUUGUGCAGGGGAAUCCGUGCCUCAUGCCGCUCUCCAGCCUGCUCUGGGUGCCCCUGGCCUUCAUCUUCUCUGGAACCAGUAUGGCCCAGAAAGUUACUCAAGUCCAGCCAGACAUAACCAGUCAAGUGGGGCGGGCAGUCACCCUGAACUGUAGGUAUGAGACAAGUUGGAGCACAGUCUACUACUACAUUUAUUGGUAUAAGCAGCUUCCCAGUGGAGAGAUGAUUUUCCUUAUUCGUCAGUAUUCAAAUAGCCACAAUGCAAGGGAUGGCCGCUAUUCUAUAAACUUUCAGAAAGCAGAUAAAUCCAUCAGCCUCACCAUUUCAGCCUUACAGCUGGAAGACUCUGGAAAGUAUUUCUGUGGUCUCGUGGACCUCACAGUGCUUGAAGUAAUAGGAAAAGCUAAACAAAAACCCCAGAGCUCAAUAAAUGGGAGCCGCCCAACACCCGCUUCAGGACCCAAGCUGAAAUUCACACCUGCAGACCCCAGACAAGAAAUGAUGGGAACUUGCAAAAAGCCCCAAGAAUCUGUUUGUAGUGACUUUAAAUGGGAUGAAAAGGAGGAAGGACGAGUAAGAGUCACUCUGAAUACUAAGGAGGGUUACAGCUACAUGUUCAUCAAAGGAUCCCAGCCCGAGAACUCAGCCACAUACCUCUGUGCCUCCACACCGUGCCCUUAA